rnacentral:sRNA from 1 species
AGGAUGCACAGAUGAUUUUAGACUUGGGGGAAGGAAUGUGCAUUCCUAACCCCAUCUUAGAGGCAGAAGGACUGAGGUGGAAUGAAGCCAGGCUAGGACAAGGGCUAGCCCAUGAAUCAUACACAAAAUAGAUCCUGGAGGGGCCAAGACAACAUCUGGAGGGGAUUAAUCCCUUUUCAAUCCCCAGAAGAACUUGCCCAGGAGUUGGGAUGGUAUUCAAGGUCCAGUUUCUCAGCUCCAGCCCUUCUCUCUCCCACACCCAGGUAUGAAGAGGAGGUGGCCCUGAGAGCCACGGCAGAGAAUGAGUUUGUCGUUCUAAAGAAGGACGUGGACUGCGCCUACCUGCGGAAAUCAGACCUGGAGGCCAAUGUGGAGGCCCUGGUGGAGGAGUCUAGCUUCCUGAGGCGCCUCUAUGAAGAGGAGAUCCGCGUUCUCCAAGCCCACAUCUCAGACACCUCGGUCAUAGUCAAGAUGGACAACAGCCGAGACCUGAACAUGGACUGCAUUGUCGCUGAGAUCAAGGCUCAGUAUGACGAUGUUGCCAGCCGCAGCCGGGCCGAGGCUGAGUCCUGGUACCGUAGCAAGUGUGAGGAGAUGAAGGCCACAGUGAUCAGGCACGGGGAGACCCUGCGCCGCACCAAGGAGGAGAUCAACGAACUGAACCGCAUGAUCCAGAGGCUGACGGCCGAGAUUGAGAAUGCCAAGUGCCAGGUG